rnacentral:rRNA from 1 species
UACAGAGGUGGCAAGCGUUGUUCGGAAUUAUUGGGCGUAAAGGGCGUGUAGGCGGCCUCCUAAGUCAGACGUGAAAUCCCCCGGCUUAACCUGGGAACUGCGUCUGAUACUGGACGGCUAGAGUAUGGGAGAGGGAUGUAGAAUUCCAGGUGUAGCGGUGAAAUGCGUAGAUAUCUGGAGGAAUACCGGUGGCGAAGGCGGCAUCCUGGACCAUUUACUGACGCUGAGGCGCGAAAGCUAGGGGAGCAAACGGG